UACGAAGGGGGCUAGCGUUGCUCGGAAUUACUGGGCGUAAAGGGCGCGUAGGCGGCACGGCAAGUCAGGAGUGAAAGCCCUGGGCUCAACCCAGAAACUGCUUUUGAAACUGCCGAGCUAGAGUGCGGAAGGGGCAACUGGAAUUCCCAGUGUAGCGGUGAAAUGCGUAGAUAUUGGGAAGAACACCUGAGGCGAAGGCGGGUUGCUGGGCCGACACUGACGCUGAGUGCGCGAAAGCCAGGGGAGCGAACGGG
rnacentral:rRNA from 1 species